rnacentral:lncRNA from 1 species
GAAAAUACUUGCAAUAAAAAAAGAUAUGUCAAUAUUACAUAGCAUUACGUGUUCAAAAAUCUUCAAAUCCAUAUGUAUUUAAUCCGCUCAGCCUCAUGUUCAUCACGACAAUCCUCCGUUUCAAGGUUCACCCAUCUUCAUCGCUUCAAGCUCGUGCUCUGACCACAUCCACCAGAUCAACUCCUUCUCCGCCGCUAUUGUCUUCUGUUCAAGUCACCUCCGUUGUGUCCAGGUCUCACGGUGAGCUCCUCCUCCUGGAAUCCAGUCGUCGUCAGUUUCCAAUCUGGUCACGACCUUAUUCCCUUACAGCCAUGUCUUUUCCGCUGCUUCUUUGCUCGCCGUCACAUCUCUAAAUCAGCAUGCUCUCACCAGAAUCCAUGGCCACAAAAAAAUCUUCUGCUGUGUCUUGCCGUCGCGGGAUCCAACUGCGGCUCCAUAUAAG